UGGAUACAGAGGGCCGGCCGCUGGCAACAUCGGUCCAAUCCUUAAAGUCAUCCUCAGUUCGGACUGGGGUCUGCAACCCGACCCCACGAAGCUGGAUUCGCUAGUAAUCGCGCAUCAGCCAUGGCGCGGUGAAUACGUUCCCGGGCCUUGUACACACCGCCCGUCAAGCCAUGAAAGCCGGGGGCGCCUGAAGUCCGUGACCGCGAGGGUCGGCCUAGGGUGAAACCGGUGAUUGGGGCUAAGUCGUAACAAGGUAGC
rnacentral:rRNA from 1 species